rnacentral:tRNA from 1 species
GGGGAUUUAGCUCAGCAGCAUAAGUGCCUGCCUUGUAAGCAGGCAGUCGUGAGUUCAAAAUCCCCA